ACAGAGGGUUCGAUCAUGGCCCAGAUUGAACGCUGGCGGGAUGCUUACACAUGCAAGUACGAACGGCAGCACGGACUUCGGUCUGGUGGCGAGUGGUGAACGGGUGAGUAAUGUAUCGAACGUGCCUAGUUAGCGGUGGAUAACUACGCGAAAGCGUAGCAUACCGCAUACGGACCUUCGGGAAAGCGGGGACCUUUCGGGCCUCGCAUCAUUAGAGCGGCUGAUAUCGGAUUGAAGGAAGUUGGUGGGGUAACGGCUCACCAUGACGAUCCGUGGUUGGUUUUGAGAGGACGACCAGCGCACGACACUGGGACUGAGCACGGCCCAGACUGUACGGGAGGCAGCAGUGGGGAAUUUUGACAAUGGGAAACCUGAUCCAUGAGCCAUCUCAGUGGUAGUGAUGAAGGCCUCGGUUGGGGAAGCACUAUGGCAGGAAAAGAAAAACGGCAUCGAUAGACACACCCGUGCAACCGACGGUACUCUGGCACUGACAAUCGCCGUGCCAGCAGCCGCGGUAGCUUAGGGUGCAAGCGUUAAUCGAAUACUGGGCGUAAAAGCGUGCGCAGGCGGUUCGGAAAGAAAGAUGAACUUCAGAGCUUAACUUUGGAACUGCAUUUUUAACUACCGAGCUAGAGUGUCAGAGGGAGGUGGAAUUUGGCGUAGUAGUGAAAUGCGUAGAUAUGGAGGAACACCGAUGGCGUAAGGCAGCCUCCUGGGAUAACACUGACGUUUCGCGCACGAAAGCGUGGGGAGCAAACAGGAUUAGAUACCCCAGUCCACGCCCAAAUGAUGUCAACUAGCUGUUGGGGCCUUCGGGCCUGUAGCGCAGCUGAAUCAUGUGCGUAGUUGACCGCCUGGGGAGUACGGUCGUGUAUUAAACUCAAAGGAAUUGAUUGGGACCCGCACAAGCGGUGGAUGUGAUUAAUCUGAUAACGCGAAAACCUUACCAGUACUCCCGAUGUCUGAAUCCUGUGCAGAUUUUGGGGAGUGUUUUGCAAGAGAACCGAACACAGGGUUGCAUGGCUGUCGUCAGCUCGUGUCGAGAUGCUGGUUAAGUCCCGCAACGGUGAGCGCAACCCUUGCCAUUAGUUACACAGGUUGUGGCACUCCACGAGACUGCCGGUGACAAACUGGAGGAAGCGGGAGCGACGUCAAGUCCUCGCGGCUCCUGCGGGUAGAAGCCACACGUCAUACAAUGGUCGGGACGAGGGCUGCCAACCGCGAGGGGGGAGCCAAUCCCAGAACCCGAUCGUAGUCCGGAUCGCAGUCUGUAACUCGACUGCGUGAAGUCGGAAUCGCUAGUAAUCGCGGAUCAGCAUGUCGCGGUGAAUACGUUCCCGGUCUUGUACACACCGCCCGUCACACCAUGGGAGUGGGUUUUACCAGAAGUAGUUAGCCUAACCGUAAGGAGGGCGAUUACCACGGUAGGAUCUUAUGACUGGGUGGUCGUACCGAAGGUAG
rnacentral:rRNA from 1 species